AAAUUGAAGAGUUUGAUCAUGGCUCAGAUUGAACGCUGGCGGCAGGCCUAACACAUGCAAGUCGAACGGUAACAGGAAACAGCUUGCUGUUUCGCUGACGAGUGGCGGACGGGUGAGUAAUGUCUGGGAAACUGCCUGAUGGAGGGGGAUAACUACUGGAAACGGUAGCUAAUACCGCAUAAUGUCGCAAGACUAAAGAGGGGGACCUUCGGGCCUCUUGCCAUCGGAUGUGCCCAGAUGGGAUUAGCUAGUAGGUGGGGUAACGGCUCACCUAGGCGACGAUCCCUAGCUGGUCUGAGAGGAUGACCAGCCACACUGGAACUGAGACACGGUCCAGACUCCUACGGGAGGCAGCAGUGGGGAAUAUUGCACAAUGGGCGCAAGCCUGAUGCAGCCAUGCCGCGUGUAUGAAGAAGGCCUUCGGGUUGUAAAGUACUUUCAGCGGGGAGGAAGGGAGUAAAGUUAAUACCUUUACUCAUUGACGUUACCCGCAGAAGAAGCACCGGCUAACUCCGUGCCAGCAGCCGCGGUAAUACGGAGGGUGCAAGCGUUAAUCGGAAUUACUGGGCGUAAAGCGCACGCAGGCGGUUUGUUAAGUCAGAUGUGAAAUCCCCGGGCUCAACCUGGGAACUGCAUCUGAUACUGGCAAGCUUGAGUCUCGUAGAGGGGGGUAGAAUUCCAGGUGUAGCGGUGAAAUGCGUAGAGAUCUGGAGGAAUA
rnacentral:rRNA from 2 species